CCUACGGGAGGCAGCAGUGAGGAGUAUUGGUCAAUGGACGAGAGUCUGAACCGGCCAAGUAGCGUGAAGGAUGACUGCCCUAUGGGUUGUAACCUUCUUUUCUAUGGGAAUAAAGUUUUCCACGUGUGGAAUUUUGUAUGUACCAUAUGAAUAAGGAUCGGCUAACUCCGUGCCAGCAGCCGCGGUAAUACGGAGGAUCCGAGCGUUAUCCGGAUUUAUUGGGUUUAAAGGGAGCGUAGGUGGAUUGUUAAGUCAGUUGUGAAAGUUUGCGGCUCAACCGUAAAGUUGCAGUUGAAACUGGCAGU
rnacentral:rRNA from 1 species